rnacentral:lncRNA from 1 species
GAGUCAGGAAGCAGGCCUUGCAUGUGUCCCAGACUUAACUACUCAAAGAUUCGGCCCUGGACUCAGUGCUCAGAACCAGAUCUGGCCGUAGAAGAGAAUCUGACUGUUGAUGAUCUCAGGAGGGAAGCCAUUACUGUUGUUCGACAGAGUGUAGGUAACAGUUCCGUAGCAGGUAACUUCCACGUGGAGCCUCACCCAGUCAGGGCCCUUCUCCUAAAGAGAGAGCGUUCUUGCCUCCCAUUGCCUUCACUCUGCUUCUACAACAAUCAUGCUUGCCUUACUACUCGGUCUUUGCAAAUAGUCCCAGUUGCUUGGUAGUGCACUUAGAGAUUUCUAGGCUCCCGGGGUUUUAUAGAAUGUGAGCCCUGGUGGGCAGGGUUGGGGAAAUCUGUCCUUUGCUAGAUGCCGCUUGUAACAGACUUGGUGUCCAGGAUCAAUAAUAAACGGUGUACGGAG